GAUUAAUCGGAGCACGGUGAGAGUUGCUGUUUAUAUCUAGUUAUUCUUCUCCCCUGUGUCAUGAAUCAUCUGAUACACCCGAAACCGAGAACAGAUUGCAGCGGAGUAUGAACUGCUCGUGGCUGGGUACUGCCAAGUGUCUACAUCCUCUGGGCUGGAAAACUAUUCAGAGGCAGCUUGGAGGUGUGCUGAACAGCAUGCCACUGCUGCCAAGAUGCAAACUUCAGAAGCUGAGACCACAUUAUAGUGGAGCAACUUGUUACAGUGCCUGUUAGCAAAAGACUGCUGAGACCCCUGAAGAAAGAUUAUUGGAGUGCUGGUUGUCCCUUUCUGCUGCUGACUCCUGUUUCCUAUGUGACGACAUGUCCUGUAGCCAGAAGCAAGCCCAGCCAACAUGGAUCUUGGCUUGAAGACUGUGGAGGGCACCAUAUGGCUGCUGACCACCCUCAUUGAACACCAGGGACAAAGAAAAGGAUGGAGGACUGUCAUUUGCUAGGGUAGGUUGGUAAUAAUGAAAUACUUCCACCACCCUGCAAAGAUGUGACAUGAGCGAUUCGCCAAAUAUCCCUGCUAAUCCACACGUUUCUCCUUCAACACCAUUCUCCAAACUGCUAUGACAAUAUUUAUGCUUUGCCAGAAUCGCUUCCCUACAAAUAAAAAAAUAGUUACACAAAGCAGAGAGCACAGCAGCUAGGUGCAACUGAGAGCUCCUCCUCUUCACAUGCCUCCCCCCCCCAAAAAAAAAUAAAAAUUUGUUUGCAGGAGCUGGCAGCAGAGCAUCUCUGGCAGCAUUUUGCUCUCACGUGAGCACUGCUGCGGCUCCAACCACAAAGCCGAGAGCUGCGUGUACAGACCCCGGAAAUAAUUCGUCUCUCUAAUUUUACAGCCACACUAAAUUACUACGGGUGCAAUUCUGCAGGGCACCGAAAUUGAUCUCAGCAGUGAAACUGCACCCGCGGAUUCUGCCUGAGUGACCCUGUUUAAAUUGGAGCACUGCGGAAAAGACAAACUAUCGGGAUUGCUUUUAUUGCAGCCUCUACUACAGAUAUUUUCCAGUCGGGUGUGUUGAUAGGAGGGAGAAGAAUAAUCAGCCUUGACUGUCUUAGCUGUGUCAGCAGAAGCCUCUGGUGCUCAGCCGGCUGUAUUGGCAAGAAUUCGUGUUUGCUGGGAUAGUUUGGUUUGCUCAUAAAAUACAGCUUUGCUUUCUUUAGCAGUGCAAAGAAACCAGGAUCCAACCUUGGUGCUUGCACUCAAUCUCUACUGAGGAGCAAUGUUUUUCAAACUUUCAUGUGCUGCAGGCUGGGACUUUUCUGGUGCCCACACGUGUGGGUGAGGUGCAGCACACCUCUGUGACCUGUUCUGGUAGACACCUAAAGACAUGAAGAACCUCCCUGCUGACCCUGAAACCCCUGGCUGGAAGGUGAGAGUCACCCAGCCAGGAGCAGAAGCAAGAGGAAAAUGGCUUCAGCUGGCCUUCAGGAAGAAGCAGGUGAUGUCUUUCCCCAAAACACCCGAUACUUCUUGGUGAUCAUUUAUGCUAUUGCUGACAUACUGCGAGGAGCAGAACCUCCUGCUGCUUCCCAGAUGAGACUCAGAUCUCUCUUGCUAGCUUUCCUGAGCCCCUUCACUGAUUGCAGUCCCCUGUUGAUGGGCCAGAAGGUGCCUCAUUCUCCCUCUCUGACUGCCCUCCAUGUAAGGCUGGCAUGCGCUCAUAUCAGACAAAAACUGAUCUUCUCAGGCUGAGGAAAGGUUGGAGACAAGGCUGCUCACACUCAAGGCACAUUUUCCACCCACUAGUCAUAUUACACGGAGAGCUGGCAGGGAGAGGCAGAAGAAAAGACCCACUUUUCUGUAAAAAGCUGCUGAUCCUCCACAGAAAAGCAGUACCUCUGGUGGAAUGAGUCAUCCAGCAUUUCCUACUCGUUUCUUAAAUAAUCAAUGGUGAGGGAUGCUCAGUCUAAGAUGCUGAAUUAGUAUCUGGAAGUUUCUAGGGUGUCCUUUUUCCCUCUUUUAACUGUGCAGAGGAUUUGCUUUAGGGGGGCUGGACUAAACAUUUCUAUACUAUGGAGAAGAAGCCUAAAACGUAGGCAUGUGAUGAUCUAAAUAGGGUGCUUGCUUGUGUUUGCACAGCACUGAAUCAGUUCACGCACCACAGCAGUACACCUGCAGUGCUCCAGCCCCUGACUGGAGCUCAGUUCGUGGGGCAAGACUUGAAGCAGACCGAAGUAAACCCCCUGAAAUUAGUGUAGUAAGCUUGACAGGUCUUUAGCAUCAGAGGACCACCUCUCGGCCUCCAAAAUCUGCCCCUGCUGCUCCUCCUGACUGGCACAGCCCAGGUCAGUAGUGCUGUGUCUGUGCUGUGCAGGGAGCCACAUGUGGUGGCAUUUUUCAGGCCGGGAGUGCAGCAUGCUCCCUUCCCUCGUGUCCCAUCCUACUGCUGUUGCUCCUCAUCUUUUACCACUGUUCUCCUGCUCUGUCUUCUCUCUUGCACCCACUCAGCAAGCUGCUUAUCUUCCAGGGAUAGCUUUGCUCUGCAGGUCAGAGCAGCUGCUAGAAACAGCUUGACUUCUUCUUAGCGCUUGAGGAGUUCCCUCCCUCCCUCGCUCCCAGGCCUGACUGCUAUUGAUUUAAAGGCGUUUAUAACAUAUCUGCGCCUCCAGUCUAAUGACACAAACUAGAUUUCAAGGGUACUGAACUAACAGAGUAUCUUAGCAACAAAUAUUUAUUUUAAUAACAGCAUUUCUAGCCAUGUUAAACAAACACCUACUGCAAUAGUCUGAAUGCCCCAGAGCGCUUUAUCCCGUCCCACGACCCAUUUUCUGUUGGCUCAUCCUCACUAAAAAGAGUUGCUAAAGUCAAUGCCGUUGUCCCGGAGAGGUCAUCUUCAGCACCCUCUCGACUUGUUAGACUGGUAUCAGAGAAGAAGCAGACCACCAUGCUCCUGGUAGCUCCCCAGACAGACUUGCUGUAGGGGUUUUCCUCUGACCACCUCCCAGAUAUUUCUGGUGGUUGUUUACAGUGACCUGCUCUGAGCAGGGGUGUUGAACUGCUUUUGCACUGUCUGCUUACCACACAUCCAGAGGCUGCAAUGCUCCAGUUGCUUCCCUGGCAAUGACAGACAAGCUGAUGCCUGCUGUCUUCAGAUGCCUUGAUCGCCAUCCUCUCCCUAAAGCUGUCAGGAAGCAACCUCCCUGCUAACUCCUUGCUCAGGCUCAUUCAUGCUGCUCACCCCAUUCACUGCGAGGUUCUCCAUCCAUUUCCCUUGACGCAUAUUAGAGUUUGGAGAGGACUUUUGUUUAAAAAAAUUCAUCUAAAAAUUAGAUGGAGUGGAAACAUUCAGACACCAGGAGUAAUUGCCAGCAUAACUACGUCUCUUUGCUGCUUUAAUGCCAUUGCACAUUUUGCUGUUACCUUUGUCUCUCCCCUGCUAGCUGAACUGUGAGAUUUCCUGUGUCAUCAAACCACAAUUUGUAUGAUCAUUGUUAUAAAUAUGUGAAAGAAAAUAAUGGUUUGUCUUAUAGAAUAAAACAACACAGUUUGAUAUUAUCCUAGCGUAUCUUCAGAGUCCUCGGGCUGCACACUGUUGUUCUCUGAUGGGUUGAAAGCUCUUUCUUUUGACAAAUCCCACUAGUACCUGCUUUUGAACUCUCCUACUGAGAUAUUUUAGUAAGGGAAAUAUCCAGGGACUAUUUUCUCAGCACAUCUCCACAAGGGAUAAAUCCAGCCUUUCUUAUCUUCAGCACUUGUUGGAAUUCAGCUUUGUUUUGGAAAGGGAAUGGUACAGUCAUCUCAAGGGUGCAGCCUCUCCUGUGUGGUGUUUUCAUGGGGAUCAUUCAGCCCUGCAUCCUCCACCCCUCUCUAAGGAAAAUCCAGCAGGACAGAGAUUUUCCUUUAUUGUCUCUCAUUAAUUUGUGUGUCACCAGCUGUGAAACGAGCAGAGCCUGAGAAACUGCCCUUGGGAAUCAGCAUGGUCCAGACCGGGCCAGCAGCACUUGCUUAGCUCCCACUGAAUAGCUGUUUUGCCAGGCUGACUUCAGUCCAAUAUUUUUCUCUCUUCCUCCCACCACCCUCCUUUCCUGGUACAAAUAAGUGUUUGUGUACAACCCAGGGAAAAACACCUCCUAGAGUUUUAUAAAAAUAAACGUCAGCCUGCCACUGAGCUAGUCAGGAAUUUCUUACAAGGUGGAAAGCUGUACAAAAGCUGCCAUCGUGCAUUAUCCUCCUGUGUCAGGGGGAUAGAUCUGUUGUCCUACAAAGCACGUGCAUGGGCAGGAGAAUUAGCAACAGCACCCAGCAUCCUGAAACAGCCACAAGUCUUGAAGAAGUGUUAUGGCAAGAGUUAUGGUUUGCACUGGGGCAGCUGCACUUACCCUGUGUUGAAGGAAGGAUAUCACUCACCUCUGUCAUCCUUGCUUGUUCUUAGCUCAAAUCAAGCACGUGGUGUGACCUCUGCAUCUCCCUUUGCAAGUCAGAGGAGGGGUUUGGGUGGGAUGCUUGCUAGGCUUGGUCUGAAAGCAAACAGUUCUUCCUCCCAUUCUCUCAGCACAACUUCAUUGUUGACAAGGACAGAGUGAAAGUGACAUCCUGGCCAUUUGAUUUGUUUGCUUGUUGUGUUCAUUUGUUAGGGAAGCACUUUGAAGCUAUUAAUCUAUUAUCUCAUUCCUACCUGAGAACACAAUUUCAUUACUGCAUUUUUGCAUUUUACAAGUUUUGUAAAUAAACUGAGUGGCAUCCUUGCUUCAA